rnacentral:rRNA from 1 species
GACGAACGCUGGCGGCGCGCCUAACACAUGCAAGUCGAACGGAGCUUAUAGAGCUUGCUUUUUAAGCUUAGUGGCGAACGGGUGAGUAACGCGUGAGUAACCUGCCCUAGAGUGGGGGACAACAGUUGGAAACGACUGCUAAUACCGCAUAAGCCCACGGUACCGCAUGGCACUGAGAGAAAAGGAUUUAUUCGCUUUAGGAUGGACUCGCGUCCAAUUAGCUAGUUGGUGAGGUAACGGCCCACCAAGGCGACGAUUGGUAGCCGGACUGAGAGGUUGAACGGCCACAUUGGGACUGAGACACGGCCCAGACUCCUACGGGAGGCAGCAGUGGGGGAUAUUGCACAAUGGGGGAAACCCUGAUGCAGCGACGCCGCGUGGGGGAAGAAGGUUUUCGGAUUGUAAACUCCUGUCGUUAGGGACGAUAAUGACGGUACCUAACAAGAAAGCACCGGCUAACUACGUGCCAGCAGCCGCGGUAAAACGUAGGGUGCAAGCGUUGUCCGGAAUUACUGGGUGUAAAGGGAGCGCAGGCGGGAAGACAAGUUGGAAGUGAAAACCAUGGGCUCAACCCAUGAAUUGCUUUCAAAACUGUUUUUUCUUGAGUAGUGCAGAGGUAGAUGGAAUUCCCGGUGUAGCGGUGGAAUGCGUAGAUAUCGGGAGGAACACCAGUGGCGAAGGCGGUCUACUGGGCACCAACUGACGCUGAGGCUCGAAAGCAUGGGUAGCAAACAGGAUUAGAUACCCUGGUAGUCCAUGCCGUAAACGAUGAUUAAUAGGUGUUGGGGGAUUGACCCCCUCAGUGCCGCAGUUAACACAAUAAGUAAUCCACCUGGGGAGUACGACCGCAAGGUUGAAACUCAAAGGAAUUGACGGGGGCCCGCACAAGCAGUGGAGUAUGUGGUUUAAUUCGAAGCAACGCGAAGAACCUUACCAGGUCUUGACAUCCGAUGCAUAGCACAGAGAUGUGUGAAAUCCUUCGGGACAUCGAGACAGGUGGUGCAUGGUUGUCGUCAGCUCGUGUCGUGAGAUGUUGGGUUAAGUCCCGCAACGAGUGCAACCCUUAUUGCCAGUUACUACGUUAAGAGGACUCUGGCGAGACUGCCGUUGACAAAACGGAGGAAGGUGGGGAUGACGUCAAAUCAUCAUGCCCUUUAUGACCUGGGCUACACACGUACUACAAUGGCGUUAAACAAAGAGAAGCAAGACCGCGAGGUGGAGCAAAACUCAAAAACAACGUCUCAGUUCAGAUUGCAGGCUGCAACUCGCCUGCAUGAAGUCGGAAUUGCUAGUAAUCGCGGAUCAGCAUGCCGCGGUGAAUACGUUCCCGGGCCUU